rnacentral:rRNA from 1 species
GACGAACGCUGGCGGCGUGCCUAAUACAUGCAAGUCGAGCGGACUUUCAAGAAGCUUGCUUUUUGAAAGUUAGCGGCGGACGGGUGAGUAACACGUGGGCAACCUGCCUGUAAGACGGGGAUAACUCCGGGAAACCGGGGCUAAUACCGGAUAAUAUCUUUCUUCGCAUGAAGGAAGGUUGAAAGGCGGCGCAAGCUGCCGCUUGCAGAUGGGCCCGCGGCGCAUUAGCUAGUUGGUGAGGUAACGGCUCACCAAGGCGACGAUGCGUAGCCGACCUGAGAGGGUGAUCGGCCACACGGGGACUGAGGAACGGCCCAGACUCCUACGGGAGGCAGCAGUAGGGAAUCUUCCGCAAUGGACGAAAGUCUGACGGAGCAACGCCGCGUGAGCGAAGAAGGUCUUCGGAUCGUAAAGCUCUGUUGUCAGGGAAGAACAAGUACCGUUCGAAUAGGGCGGUACCUUGACGGUACCUGACCAGAAAGCCACGGCUAACUACGUGCCAGCCGCCGCGGUAA